rnacentral:rRNA from 1 species
AUUGAACGCUGGCGGCAGGCCUAACACAUGCAAGUCGAGCGGAUGAAGGGAGCUUGCUCCUGGAUUCAGCGGCGGACGGGUGAGUAAUGCCUAGGAAUCUGCCUGGUAGUGGGGGAUAACGUCCGGAAACGGGCGCUAAUACCGCAUACGUCCUGAGGGAGAAAGUGGGGGAUCUUCGGACCUCACGCUAUCAGAUGAGCCUAGGUCGGAUUAGCUAGUUGGUGGGGUAAAGGCCUACCAAGGCGACGAUCCGUAACUGGUCUGAGAGGAUGAUCAGUCACACUGGAACUGAGACCCGGGCCAGACCCCUAGGGGAGGCAACAGUGGGGAAUUUUGGACAAAGGGGGAAAGCCUGAUCCAGCCAUGCCGCGUGUGGGAAGAAGGUCUUCGGAUUGGAAAGCCCUUUAAGUUGGGAGGAAGGGCAUUAAGUUAAUCCCUUGCUGUUUUGACGUUACCAAAAAAAUAAGCACCGGCUAACUUCGU